GUCCUAUCAGCACUGACACAUUUACUGUACUGUAUUGCAAUCCAAUCCAAUGUUACAGUUUUUCUCGAUUGCUUACACACAUGAAGCAUGCCUCGUUUUCUCAAAACUCUAAACACAAAUCCCUAAACCACUCACACAAAAUGCAACAACAUUCACAACACUGUGUAGGUCUAUUUCUGAUAGCACAUUGUCAAUAUUGUCUUGAGCUAGAACAGGAUGCAGUAGUUUUUUGUCCUUUUUUAUUUGACAUUUUUCUUUCUUUUUUUUGUUGACUGUACUGGCCUAUAUCCUAUUGUUUUUUCUGUGCAAAUCAUUUACACAUUCAUUUGUGUUUGCUGUGAUGUAUAGGCUACAGCACUUUUGGAAAAAAUAAAGAAAUAUUUUAGUUGUUACUGAUAUUUGUGUGUUGUUUUAUAUUUGCGUAAAAACAUUAUACAGUUAUAUUUUACUACAGGAGUAAGCGUAUAGUAACAUAAUGUUCCUGAUAAGGCCUUCAUACUGGUGUUUUCCCAUUUCAUAGUAGUGUUUUCCAUUGAGCACAUCAGUGUUCAAUCGAUGCUUAGAAUGUCUACUCAUAUAAUGGGCUGUGUUUGUCAUUAGAAAACAAAGUACCCUUUUGAGGUGACAUAACACUGUUUUGAAAGCAAAGUUGCCUUUUGCAGGAUAUAUAAAGGGUUUUGCAUUUUGUGUGAGUGGUUUUGGGAUUUGUGUUUAGAGUUUUGAGGAAACGAGGCAUGCUUUCAAAAAAUGUGUGUUAGCAAUCGAGAAAAACUGUAAGGCGGAACACCUUGAGAAUAAAGCAGGUGUACAGGGUGCCUUUUGUCAGAAACUCCGACAGUCAAACAGUUAUGCUAUGACUAUGUGCAAGUAAGUCAUAUACAUUUCCACAACUGAUUGCGUCCUAUCAGCACUGACACAUUACUGUAAUGAAUUGUAAUCCAAUCCAAUGUUACAGAUUUUUUCGAUUGCUUACACACAUUUUUUGAAAGCAUGCCUCGUUUUCUCAAAACUCUAAACACAAAUCCCUUAACCACUCACACAAACUGCAACAACAUUCACAACACUGUGUAGGUCUAUUUCUGAUGCAACAUUGUCAAUAUUGUCUUGAGCUAGAACAGGAUGCAGUAGUUUUUUGUCCUUUUUUAUUUUACAUUUUUCUUUCUUUUUUUUGUUGACUGUACUGACCUAUAUCCUAUUGUUUGUUCUGUGCAAAUAAUUUACACAUUCAGUUGUGUUUGCUAUGAUGUAUAGGCUACAGCACUUUUGGAAAAAAUAAAGAAAUAUUUUAGUUGUUACUGUAUAUUAGCGUACAGUAAGCGUACAGUAACAUAAUGCUCAUACUGGUGUUUUCCCAUUUCAUAGUAGUGUUUUCCAUUGAGCACACCAGUGUUCAAUCGAUGCUUAGAAUGUCUACUCAUAUAAUGGGCUGUGUUUGUCAUUUGAAAACAAAAUACCCUUUUGAGGUGACAUAACACUGUUUUGAAAGCAAAGUAGCAUUUUGCAGGAGAUAUAAAGAGGUUUGCAUUUUGUGUGAGUGGUUUAGGGAUUUGUGUUUAGAGUUUUGAGAAAACGAGGCAUGCUUUCAAAAAAUGUGUGUAAGCAAUCGAGAAAAACUGUAAUACUGGGUGACUGGGUUAACAUUACAGUUAAGUAAAUCAAUAGACGUGUCAAAAGCAGGCAUUAGGGAUACAGUCUAAUAUUUCCAGGUAUCCUGUCAACAAAAAUUGUAUGUUGGGCUCAUGUAAAUACAUGUCUUUGUGUAUUGUCUUUAAUCAUGUCAUUGAUGACCUUGUCCUUGACCUUGUCAUUUAGUUACGAUUUAGGAUUUUUCCUGCAUCUAUUUUUUUUUUUUUUUUUUUACUGCACACUUAAAACGUAUCACUGUUUUUGACUUCUUAUAGUUUAGUGCAGUGUUGAGUGAGGUAUAAAACUAUCUCCUCUUUCUCUCUGAGCCCCGUCUGUCUCUUUCACUCGGUCUCAGUACCAGUGGGGGGCACCCUACUCUCUGAAAUGAAAUGAACAAUCCUCUUGAGUGCACACCCAGGCACGUACACCAAACACAAAGUUCACAGCAUGAGUCCCACACUCAGGGCACUGAGUUUGUGUACAGAAGAAGUUACGUCUGCUCAGCACGUAAUCUCUAAAUCCCCUUUUACUGAAUCCCCUCAGGGAAUCCCCUCAGGGAUUGGACAUCUCUUUUCUGUGCGUCGUUUUUUUUUUUUUUUAACGAAUGUGAUGGUUCAGCAUACAUCACUCUAUAUAUAACUAGAAACUGAUCGGGAAUAAUGAGAAUUUGUCCCAUGAAUAUGAUUUCCAGAGGAGAUUUCAACCUGCUGCAACACUUCCCAGAGAUUUGACAGGUGUAUAAGGCAUUUUCCUGGUUUGCUGUUUCUUCACCAAAUGGGUUUUUCAAAGCUUAUACUGGUGCUUCAGAUCAGUGUCCUGCUAUUUGAAA
ensembl:lncRNA